AGUGAACGCUGGCGGUAGGCCUAACACAUGCAAGUCGAACGGCAGCACAGUAAGAGCUUGCUCUUACGGGUGGCGAGUGGCGGACGGGUGAGGAAUACAUCGGAAUCUACUUUUUCGUGGGGGAUAACGUAGGGAAACUUACGCUAAUACCGCAUACGACCUACGGGUGAAAGCAGGGGAUCUUCGGACCUUGCGCGAUUGAAUGAGCCGGUGUCGGAUUAGCUAGUUGGCGGGGUAAAGGCCCACCAAGGCGACGAUCCGUAGCUGGCCUGAGAGGAUGAUCAGCCACACUGGAACUGAGACACGGUCCAGACUCCUACGGGAGGCAGCAGUGGGGAAUAUUGGACAAUGGGCGCAAGCCUGAUCCAGCCAUACCGCGUGGGUGAAGAAGGCCUUCGGGUUGUAAAGCCCUUUUGUUGGGAAAGAAAAGCAGCAGGUUAAUACCCCGCUGUUCUGACGGUACCCAAAGAAUAAGCACCGGCUAACUUCGUG
rnacentral:rRNA from 1 species